rnacentral:lncRNA from 1 species
GAUUGUUGGUCAGGCUUUACUGCAUGUUUGUCGGACUGGUACAAGGAAAAUCGCUCUUACCCUUGGUAUAUCACAAGAGCUUGGAAGCAAACUGCAGUCUUUAUACUCUUUUGUACUUGAUCAUUUAGUGCUUCUAUUUUAUCAUACCUAUAAACUUUGUGACUUGUAGUCGAGUCCAGAUCAUAUGGUGAUCUAUAUUCAAAUAAAUACACUUCAUUUA